CGGGGCGCCUUAUGCAUGCAGUCGAGCGAAGCUUUUCAGUAGUUUACUACAGAAAAUGACUGAGCGGCGAACGGGUGAGUAACGCGUGAGCAAUCUACCUUAGUUACAGGGAUAGCCCGAGGAAACUCGGAUUAAUACCUGAUAUUCUUUAUUUCUCGCAUGAGAAUAAAAGGAAAGGUCAGCCGAACUAAGAUGAGCUCGCGUUCUAUCAGCUAGUUGGUGAGGUAAAAGCUUACCAAGGCUACGACGGAUAGCUGGUCUGAGAGGACGAUCAGCCACACUGGGACUGAGACACGGCCCAGACUCCUACGGGAGGCUGCAGCAGGGAAUAUUGUGCAAUGAACGAAAGUUUGACACAGCGACACCGCGUGUGGGAUGACGGAUCUAGGUUUGUAAACCACUUUCAGGAGGGAAGAAAAUGACGGUACCUCCACAAGAAGCCCCGGCCAACUACGUGCCAGCAGCCGCGGUAAUACGUAGGGGGCGAGCGUUGUCCGGAUUUAUUGGGCGUAAAGAGCUCGUAGGCGGUUCAACAAGUCGGUCGUGAAGGUUCAGGGCUCAACCCUGAAAUGUCGAUCGAUACUGUUGUGACUAGGAUACGGUAGAGGUGAGUGGAAUUCCGAGUGUAGCGGUGAAAUGCGUAGAUAUUCGGAGGAACACCAAUUGCGAAGGCAGCUCACUGGACCGCUAUCGACGCUGAGGAGCGAAAGCUAGGGGAGCAAACAGGAUUAGAUACCCUGGUAGUCCUAGCUGUAAACGAUGGAUACUAGACGUAGGAACUGGAUUG
rnacentral:rRNA from 1 species